rnacentral:rRNA from 1 species
CACGUAGGGGGCUAGCGUUGUCCGGAAUCAUUGGGCGUAAAGCGCGUGUAGGCGGCCCGAUAAGUCCGCUGUGAAAGUCCAGGCUCAACCCUGGGAUGCCGGUGGAUACUGUCGGGCUCGAGUCCGGAAGAGGCGAGUGGAAUUCCUGGUGUAGCGGUGAAAUGCGCAGAUAUCAGGAGGAACACCAAUGGCGAAGGCAGCUCGCUGGGACGUGACUGAUGCUGAGACGCGAAAGCGUGGGGAGCAAACAGG